rnacentral:rRNA from 1 species
AUCCGUCCAUAGAGUUUGAUCAUGGCUCAGGACGAACGCUGGCGGCGUGCCUAAUACAGCAAGUCGAGCGGACCGAAUCGGAGCUUGCUCUGGUUGGGUCAGCGGCGGACGGGUGAGAACACGUGGGCAACCUGCCCGCAAGACCGGGAUAACUCCGGGAAACCGGAGCUAAUACCGAUAACACCGAAGACCGCAUGGUCUUUGGUUGAAAGGCGGCCUUUGGCUGUCACUUGCGAUGGGCCCGCGGCGCAUUAGCUAGUUGGUGAGGUAACGGCUCACCAAGGCGACGAUGCUAGCCGGCCUGAGAGGGUGACCGGCCACACUGGGACUGAGACACGGCCCAGACUCCUACGGAGGCAGCAGUAGGGAAUCUUCCGCAAUGGGCGAAAGCCUGACGGAGCGACGCCGCGUAGCGAAGAAGGCCUUCGGGUCGUAAAGCUCUGUUGUGAGGGACGAAGGAGCGCCGUUUGACAAGGCGGCGCGGUGACGGUACCUCACGAGAAAGCCCCGGCUAACUACGUGCCAGCAGCGCGGUAAUACGUAGGGGGCGAGCGUUGUCCGGAAUUAUUGGGCGUAAAGCGCGCGCAGCGGCUCCUUAAGUCUGAUGUGAAAGCCCACGGCUCAACCGUGGAGGGUCAUUGGAAACUGGGAGCUUGAGUGCAGGAGAGGGGAGCGGAAUUCCACGUGUAGCGGUGAAAUGCGUAGAAUGUGGAGGAACACCAGUGGCGAAGGCGGCUCUCUGGCCUGUAACUGACGCUGAGGCGCAAAGCGUGGGGAGCAAACAGGAUUAGAUACCCUGGUAGUCCACGCCGUAAACGAUGAGUCUAAGUGUUAGAGGGGUCACACCCUUUAGUGCUGCAGCUAACGCGAUAAGCACUCCGCCGGGGAGUACGGCCGCAAGGCUGAAACUCAAAGGAAUUGACGGGGGCCCGCACAAGCGGUGAGCAUGUGGUUUAAUUCGAAGCAACGCGAAGAACCUUACCAGGUCUUGACAUCCCCUGCCACCCAAGAGAUUGGGCGUUCCCCCUUCGGGGGGACAGGGUGACAGGUGGUGCAUGGUGUCGUCAGCUCGUGUCGUGAGAUGUUGGGUUAAGUCCCGCAACGAGCGCAACCCUCGCCCUCGUUGCCAGCAUUCAGUUGGGCACUCUAGAGGGACUGCCGGCGACAAGUCGGAGGAAGUGGGGAUGACGUCAAAUCAUCAUGCCCCUUAUGACCUGGGCUACACACGUGCUACAAUGGCGGUACAAAGGGCAGCGAACCCGCGAGGGGGAGCGAAUCCCAAAAAGCCGCUCUCAGUCGGAUUGCAGGCUGCAACUCGCCUGCAUGAAGCCGGAAUCGCUAGUAAUCGCGGAUCACAUGCCGCGGUGAAUACGUUCCCGGG